GACGAACGCUGGCGGCGUGCUUAACACAUGCAAGUCGAACGGAAAGGCCCUGCUUUUGUGGGGUGCUCGAGUGGCGAACGGGUGAGUAACACGUGAGUAACCUGCCCUUGACUUUGGGAUAACUUCAGGAAACUGGGGCUAAUACCGGAUAGGAGCUCCUGCUGCAUGGUGGGGGUUGGAAAGUUUCGGCGGUUGGGGAUGGACUCGCGGCUUAUCAGCUUGUUGGUGGGGUAGUGGCUUACCAGGGCUUUGACGGGUAGCCGGCCUGAGAGGGUGACCGGCCACAGUGGGACUGAGAUACGGCCCAGACUCCUACGGGAGGCAGCAGUGGGGAAUAUUGCACAAUGGGCGGAAGCCUGAUGCAGCAACGCCGCGUGCGGGAUGACGGCCUUCGGGUUGUAAACCGCUUUCGCCUGUGACGAAGCGUGAGUGACGGUAAUGGGUAAAGAAGCACCGGCUAACUACGUG
rnacentral:rRNA from 1 species